AUUGAACGCUGGCGGCAUGCUUUACACAUGCAAGUCGAACGGUAACAGGCCGCAAGGUGCUGACGAGUGGCGGACGGGUGAGUAAUGCAGCGGAACGUGCCCAGUCGUGGGGGAUAACGCAGCGAAAGCUGUGCUAAUACCGCAUACGAUCUGUGGAUGAAAGCGGGGGACCUUCGGGCCUCGCGCGAUUGGAGCGGCCGAUGUCAGAUUAGGUAGUUGGGGGGGUAAAGGCUCACCAAGCCAACGAUCUGUAGCUGGUCUGAGAGGACGACCAGCCACACUGGGACUGAGACACGGCCCAGACUCCUACGGGAGGCAGCAGUGGGGAAUUUUGGACAAUGGGCGCAAGCCUGAUCCAGCAAUGCCGCGUGCAGGAAGAAGGCCUUCGGGUUGUAAACUGCUUUUGUACGGAGCGAAAAGGCUCCCUCUAAUACAGGGGGCUCAUGACGGUACCGUAAGAAUAAGCACCGGCUAACUACGUGCCAGCCGCCGCCGUAAAAC
rnacentral:rRNA from 1 species